AAUACUUCAAAACCAUAAUGGGAGAUCAUUCUACAAAAUCAUUCUUUGGUAUUUCAUCAAACACUUGGAAUUCAUAGACUUGAACACCAUUCAAACUUGUCACAGACAAAUUCCAACGAAAACACAUGGUAAACAUGAUUUGAAAUCAAAGUUCAUAAAAGCUUCAUGUAGAUAAUGCAUAACAACAUGUAAAAAUCAUAACUUUAAACCUGAAAAUGGAUUCUUGAACUCCACGGGUGAAAAGGGCCCAUGUAUGAACAUCACACAUACCUUUUAUAGUUAAAUCUUGAAAGUGAACAACUUUAUUAAAAGUUCUUGGACGGUGAAGCUUGAAUUCUUGAGUUUUCUUGAAGGGGGG
rnacentral:lncRNA from 1 species